CAUAUUUUCUGUUCAACACUAUCAUCCUUCUUUGUCAUGCCAGACCUCUGUUCUGCCACAAGCUUUACCAGUGGCCUCAUCGCACCGGCGAUCACUGCCCGCUCUUUGUUCUUUGAGCUCAGCUUGGAUAGCUAGUGUCGUUCUUCUCGCGGCUGGUGCCAUUCAUCAGCAGCAACACAAGUGUAUGAGAGAUUUGAUCAAGAGCAAGAACACCCAACUUAUCCACACCUUACAUCCUACUCUACCCAAGUGCCGUAACAUUCUCCCGCUCCCAAAUUUGAAUGCGUACAGCUUUUUAGUUCACCAUAGAAGGAAGGUAGUUCAUUCCUUCAAUUAGGAAUAAUAAUGUUGGAGGAGAGGGGAAAUGGUGAUUAAUUCGGAGGGAGAGGGGGCUAAGUAACUUUUUUUUCUUUUAUUGUUUUUCCAAUUAACAGGAAACUUUGAUUGAUGUAAAUAAUGGUUAAUUUUAGAUAUUGUUAAUAAUUAUGAUGAUGUUUUUUUUUUGUCA